CUCCAAGUUAUUAAGAGCCAACGGUGGAUGCCUUGGCGCCUGAAGCCGAUGAAGGACGUAGGCGACUGCGAUAAGCCAUGGGGAGCUGUCUACCAAGCUUCGAUCCAUGGAUCUCCGAAUGGGGAAACCCGACAUCAGUUAAUGCGAUGUCACCCCUGCCUGAAUAUAUAGGGCAGGAGGAGGGAACAAGGGGAAUUGAAACAUCUCAGUACCCUUUAGGAAAGGAAAACAACAGUGACUCCCCAAGUAGCGGCGAGCGAAAAGGGAAGAGCCUAAACCGAACCGGUGUGAUUAGCCUGGCGGCGUUGCCGGUUCGGGGUAGUGGGAGUGAUCAUCUAGGUUCGCCAGAGCCUAGGAGGAGUUACAAAGUUGGCUGGUUAGUCAAAGCAGUCUGGAAAGCUGCGCCACAGAGGGUAAUGGCCCCGUAGACGAAAACCUCCAACCUCCUUCGAUCACCACCCAAGUAGCGCGGGAUCUGGGAAAGC
rnacentral:ncRNA from 1 species